AUUGAACGCUGGCGGCAUGCCUAACACAUGCAAGUCGAACGAGUGGCGGACGGGAGAGUAAUGCAUGGGACCCUAGCCUAUGGAGGGGGAUAACUACGGGAAACUGUAGCUAAUACCGCGUACCAUAGGAUGAGCCCAAGUGGGAUUAGGUAGUUGGUGAGGUAAAGGCACACCAAGACGACGAUCCCUAGCUGGUCUGAGAGGAUGACCAGCCACACUGGGACUGGGACACGGCCCAGACGCCUACGGGAGGCAGCAGUGGGGAAUUUUGCGCAAUGGGGGCAACCUGACGCAGCCAGGCCGCGUGGAUGAAGAAGGCCUUCGGGUUGUAAAGUUCUUUCGGUAGGGAGGCGGUAACUACAGAAGAAGCACCGGCUAACUCCGUGCCAGCAGCCGCGGUAAUUC
rnacentral:rRNA from 1 species